AGGGUUGUCGUAUAAUGGCGAUUACGUCGGACUUUGAAUCCGAACAUCGUGGUUCGAUUCCACGCAACCCUGCCA
rnacentral:tRNA from 1 species